rnacentral:rRNA from 1 species
UAGAGUUUGAUCCUGGCUCAGGAUGAACGCUAGCGGCAGGCUUAACACAUGCAAGUCGCGGGGCAGCGGGGGAGAAGCUUGCUUCUCCCGCCGGCGACCGGCGCACGGGUGAGUAACACGUAUGCAACCUGCCCUUGUCAGGGGGACAACCCAGCGAAAGUUGGGCUAAUCCCGCGUAUAUCCCAAGGGGGCAUCCCCUUGGGAGGAAAGCUUAGGCGGACAAGGAUGGGCAUGCGGCGCAUUAGGCAGUAGGCGGGGUAACGGCCCACCUAACCGACGAUGCGUAGGGGUUCUGAGAGGAAGGCCCCCCACACUGGUACUGAGACACGGACCAGACUCCUACGGGAGGCAGCAGUGAGGAAGAUUGGUCAAUGGCCGAGAGGCUGAACCAGCCAAGCCGCGUGAGGGAAGAAGGCCCUACGGGUCGUAAACCUCUUUUGUCAGGGAACAAAAACCGGUACGAGUACCGGGUUGAGUGUACCUGAAGAAAAAGCAUCGGCUAACUCCGUGCCAGCAGCCGCGGUAAUACGGAAGGUCCGGGCGUUAUCCGGAUUUAUUGGGUUUAAAGGGAGCGUAGGCCGGCGCUUAAGCGUGCCGUGAAAUGUCCCGGCUCAACCGGGGCACUGCGGCGCGAACUGGGUGCCUUGAGUGCGCGGAACGUAUGCGGAAUUCGUGGUGUAGCGGUGAAAUGCUUAGAUAUCACGAAGAACUCCGAUUGCGAAGGCAGCAUACGGCAGCGUAACUGACGCUGAAGCUCGAAGGUGCGGGUAUCGAACAGGAUUAGAUACCCUGGUAGUCCGCACGGUAAACGAUGGAUGCCCGCUGUUGGCGAUAUAUUGUCAGCGGCCAAGCGAAAGCGUUAAGCAUCCCACCUGGGGAGUACGCCGGCAACGGUGAAACUCAAAGGAAUUGACGGGGGCCCGCACAAGCGGAGGAACAUGUGGUUUAAUUCGAUGAUACGCGAGGAACCUUACCCGGGCUUGAACUGCAGGUGAACGAUUCAGAGAUGAUGAGGUCCUUCGGGACACCUGUGGAGGUGCUGCAUGGUUGUCGUCAGCUCGUGCCGUGAGGUGUCGGCUUAAGUGCCAUAACGAGCGCAACCCCUGUUCUCAGUUGCCAUCGGGUCAUGCCGGGCACUCUGUGAAGACUGCCUCCGUAAGGAGUGAGGAGGGUGGGGAUGACGUCAAAUCAGCACGGCCCUUACGUCCGGGGCGACACACGUGUUACAAUGGCAGGUACAGAGAGAAGCAAUGCGGCGACGCAAAGCGGAACUUGAAAGCCUGUCUCAGUUCGGAUUGGAGUCUGCAACUCGACUCCAUGAAGCUGGAUUCGCUAGUAAUCGCGCAUCAGCCAUGGCGCGGUGAAUACGUUCCCGGGCCUUGCACACACCGCCCGUCA